rnacentral:lncRNA from 1 species
AGAUCAAACCGAGAUCGUGAUGCAGCUCGCUCGCGAUCUCCUUCCUCCUUCCUUCCUGUUCUAUAAUCCAACAAAUGAUAAACAAAAAUUCUUCUUACUUCUAAAUCUAUCCUCUCCAAAAAUUAGUCGUGAACGCGAUCCAGCCUUCAAAUCUUCCAAAUCUCUCUUAUCUUUCAUUGUCAGGAUGCAACUCUACAUUUAAUCAAAAAAGGCACAACGAAAAAUUAAAAAGAUGUGCCAAGUGGCUAUAAGCUAGAUAUCUACCUUGAAAAUAAUUAAACGACAAUGACUCAGGCUCAAUGCAACAUAUGUUAAACCAAAAUAAUAAUAAUAAUAAUAAUAAUUCACACCAUCUGUUUCUCUGACUCUAAUAUACCUUGAUUAUGGAAUGCUUCACAUUCCAUUCUAACAGACACAUGGGACAGUAUUUGGAAUUGAAUACUAUAUGCUAAUUCAUAGAAGUAACACACUAUCUAACAUAAAAUUAGAAUUUAGAGAAGAAGCUCAACACAAUCAGUUGACAGAAUAGCUGAGAUCUAGACCUACUCACAUCAUUCACAAUGAAGAGUCCGUCAGAUACAGCCAAUUUGUAAAUCAUAUUGUAUAUUUUUGUUAUAUUCAUGAUAAAGAAACAGACCUCUGGUCAUAAAACCAAAUGCAUUUCCUAAUAAAUACAAAAUUAUAAAGGCUAUCACAUUAAUUAAUGUAUCUAAAUUCUUUCCAUCUACUAGAAUUUU